GGGUUCGUGGCGGGGCGGGCGCCGGAGGGGUGACCCCUGUGCUUCCCCCCUGCGGCAGCGCUGCUGGAGAUGCAGAGCACCCCGAGCUACCUCUGGAGCACCGAGGACUGCCUGGGCCAGGGCGCCACAGCCUCCGUCUACAGAGCCCGCAACAAGAAAUCGGGGGAGCUGGUCGCUGUGAAGGUCUUUAACAGCGUCAGCUACCGGCGGCCCCCGGAGGUCCAGAUGAGGGAGUUUGAGAUGCUGAGGAGGCUGAACCAUAAAAACAUCGUCAAGUUCUUUGCUGUAGAGGAGACGGGCAGCAGCAAACAGAAGGUGCUGGUGAUGGAAUACUGCUCGGGGGGCAGCUUGCUGAGCGUGCUGGAGGACCCGGAGAACACCUUCGGCCUGGCUGAGUCCGAGUUCCUCAUCGUGCUGCAGUGCGUGGUGGCAGGGAUGAACCACCUCCGUGAGAACAGCGUGGUGCACAGAGACAUCAAACCAGGCAACAUCAUGCGGCUGCUGGGGGAAGAUGGGCAGAGCAUCUAUAAACUGACCGACUUUGGGGCCGCGCGGGAGCUGGGCGAUGAUGAGAAGUUUGUGUCUGUCUAUGGGACAGAGGAGUACCUGCACCCGGACAUGUACGAGCGCGCGGUGCUGCGCAAGCCGCAGCAGAAGGUUUACGGCGUCACCGUCGACCUCUGGAGCAUCGGCGUCACCUUCUACCACGCUGCCACCGGCAGCCUCCCCUUCGUCCCCUUCGGGGGCUCGCGCUGGAACAAGGAGGCCAUGUACAAAAUCACCUCUGAGAAGCCUCCUGGAGCCAUUGCAGGGGUCCAGGAGCAGGAGAACGGGAGCAUCGCGUGGAGCUACGAGCUGCCCCUCACCUGCCGCCUCUCCACGGGGCUGAAGGAGCAGCUGGUUCCCAUCCUGGCCAACAUCUUGGAGGUGGAUCAGAGGAAAUGCUGGGGGUUCAACCAGUUUUUUGCAGAGACCAAUGACAUCUUGACCAGGAUCGUGGUGGACGUCUUCUGCCUGCCACAGGCUUCCUCCCACCGCAUCUACAUCCACUCCUACAACACUACCACCAAGUUCUUGGAUGCUGUCUUCAAACAAACGAACGUAGCCCCUCACCACCAAGAGUACUUUUUCGAAGGGCAUCCCUACGAGCUGGAUCCGAAUCUGCAGGCUCAGAACUUCUGCAGGACCACGGAGCACAGCCCUCUGACCUUGCUGAGCAUCGCCGAGCAGCCGGAAGACGUGGUAGGAGUCACAUACAGAGACCCGGCGCUCGAGUUCCCAAAGCUGGUGCCCAGGGUGGACGUGGUGGCCGACUGCAGAGCAGCCAAGAGCGCGGUGGGUGCCGUGCACCAGACCCUGCGCAUCGCCCGCGCCCUGCGGCGCUGCCGGGAGCUGCUGGCGAGGGGCCUGCACUGGGUGAUUGGGAACCUGAAAACGGAGUGCGUGAGGGUGCUGGAGCAGAAGACAGGGGCUCUCUCGGUGCUCUCCUGCCUGCAGCUCCCUGAGGUGAAGACCCCCGUGCUGUACGAGGCCGCUCCUGCAGGCAGCGGGGUGCUGGCUCUGAAGGACGUGGCCAUGGUGAAGACAAGGCUGCAGAGGGUUGACGAGGAGCUCUCCCAGUGCUCUCACAGCAUCUUUGUCUUCCAAGGGGCUCUCGAUGGGGUUUUGGCUGAGCUGGUGAAGCAGGGGCAGGAAGUGCAUGAAGACAAGAGCAUCCAGCGGAUCCAGUGCUGCCUGGAGGAGAUGCAGCUCAUCUACACGCAGUUCAGGAAGGCCAGGACCAGUCUGCGGCUGAGCUACAAUGAGGAGCAAAUACACAAGCUGGAUAAGGUGAAUUUAGGCCAUUUGGCCAGGAAGGUGCUCUUGAUUUUCCAGGAUGAUUGUGUGGAACGGUACAAGGAGGCCCUGGCCCUCCAUGGCAGCAGCAUGAGGAAAGUCUGUGAGAUAAAGAAACAUCUGAAGAGGCUCAGCAACCGCAUCAGCGCCUGCAGCGUGGAGAUGAUGCAGUGCCAGGACUGCCUGCAGAGCGCUCUGGACAGGCUUCUCCAGCCUGAGAGGCAGAGCUUGGCACCGGUUCCUCCUGCUCCUUCCCCUGUCCCUGGGAGCCAGGCACACCAGGACAUGGCUUUCCGGAUGCAGGAGCUCCUGGAGCAGAUGAGGUCAGUAACUUGUGAUCUCCAGCUCAACAACAGCAUCAUCGAGCGGUUACGUGGGGCUGCCCCAGCCCCUGGUGUUUGAGACGUGGUGAGCUUGUGGCUGCUGAAGCCAACAGCGGCGAACACUCGCAGCACUUUGGGUCCAGGGCGAUGGAGACGUCUGAUGUUCAUGUUGGAGGAGCUCCCUGUCUCCUACCUCUCCCCUCCAGCACUUUUGCACCGUUCACCAGUGCCAGCUUUGAGUGGCUUGAACACCCUGAACCUUUGAAAGUUUGACCAGAAAAUGAGAGGGUUUGGGUUUUUCUUUCCUUUUAAAAAGUGCUCGAAGGACUUCAUGUUUUUCCAGCUUCUCUGUAUCACCGUGCCUGGUGGUGAAGAGGAAGAGGCUAAACAGCUAAAUUCUCUUUUGCCCUCUUGUGAUGGGAUUACUCCCACUUUUAACAUACUUCUGGUCCCUGGAGUGGGCAUGAGGGAUGCUGAGACUGGAUCCAGCCCAGGACAGCUCCAGCACUGGGACGGUGGGAGCCGCAGACCUCAGCCCGCUGAUGCUGCCACCUCUUCUCCCAUUUCCCCCUUGGGUUUGGGAAUAGGAAGCCAAGGGAGGAUUCUCGUUUUGGGAUUCUCCUCGUUUUCCAAGGAACAUUAGUUUUAAUCCAGCUCGAAUUCACUGACAUCCCCUGUUGGAACAGGGCAGGGAGCCCAGGCAGGGUGUCCUGCCACACUUCCUUGGAUUCAGUGGAGCUGCACUGAUUCAUACCAGCUGAGAGCUGGACCUGGGACAUGUUUGGCUUUGGUAAAGAGGGAUUUAUUUCUUGGCAAAAAGAAAAGAGAGGUUUUGCUAACAGCCCUUGUCAUGCUUCAACUGCUGUAACAGCAGCUGCAAAGGGGACUCCCGGAAUCCAAAUGAAACAGGAACUUUCCUGCCAGUGGUAAUUAGGGAUUUUUUCCCAGAUUACUUUAACCCUUGGCCUAAAAGAGCUUCCAAUGGAGUCAGCCCUGAAUGCCUGCAGAGGCAGCUGAGGAUAACGACUCUGCCCCAUCUCCAUCCCGUGUGAGCCCAAGCAUGCGGUGUGGACAGAGGGUACUACAUUUAUUUGCACUGGAAGCCAAGGUCUGCAGCUUUCACAGCUGGGAUGGCCCUGGAAGAGCACAUGUCCAGAAUGGCUUUAGCAGGUUCCCAGCCAGACGCCGGGUAGAUCUUUGCUCUCAGAAACAUCACUUGCUUUCUUGCAGGUGAUUUCUUACACAAUGAACGCUCUGUGGAGAGCACAGGAUUAAAUCCCAAUCAGGGGGAAACAGUUUCCCUUCCCUGGGAAUAAAUCUGCUGCUGUUCUCAGGCAGGAGCAGAGGAUGUGUGAAAGUGAAUCAGGGUCCUGAAUGGGGAAGAAAAAGACGCUCCCCAAAUGAAUCUUGCUACUUAGCAUGGAACAAAACUAGGAUUUCCAAGCUGUGUUAUUCCUCUUUGGGUUUGAAGCUUUUAUUAGGGGCUGCUUAUGGCAUUAGUCCUUUGUAACUCAGAGCCAGUGUUUUAAUCCAGGCUUCAAAUUAGAAUCCUUGAAAAGGAUUUAGACAUCCUUGGCUUAUCCUGUCCUCAGGAAUCCGUGAGUGACAUCAAACUCAGCUUCCCAUGAGCCCAGAAGCUGGGGUGCACACAGCUCCAUCUGGAUGUAGGGAAAAGGGAAAAUGCAUGAGGAAGAGUUUCUUCUUACGGUUCACAGCACAGCACAGAUUUCCUCACCAUGCAGAAUACACUGUUCUGUAUCUUUUUCA